rnacentral:rRNA from 1 species
GAACUGAGACACGGUCCAGACUCCUACGGGAGGCAGCAGUGGGGAAUAUUGCGCAAUGGGGGGAACCCUGACGCAGCCAUGCCGCGUGAAUGAAGAAGGCCUUCGGGUUGUAAAGUUCUUUCGGUAAUGAGGAAGGGAUGUUGUUAAAUAGAUAGCAUCAUUGACGUUAAUUACAGAAGAAGCACCGGCUAACUCCGUGCCAGCAGCCGCGGUAAUACGGAGGGUGCGAGCGUUAAUCGGAAUAACUGGGCGUAAAGGGCACGCAGGCGGACUUUUAAGUGAGAUGUGAAAUCCCCGAGCUUAACUUGGGAACUGCAUUUCAGACUGGGAGUCUAGAGUACUUUAGGGAGGGGUAGAAUUCCACGUGUAGCGGUGAAAUGCGUAGAGAUGUGGAGGAAUACCGAAGGCGAAGGCAGCCCCUUGGGAAUGUACUGACGCUCAUGUGCGAAAGCGUGGGGAGCAAACAGGAUUAGAUACCCUGGUAGUCCACGCUGUAAACGCUGUCGAUUUGGGGAUUGGGCUAUAUGCUUGGUGCCCGAAGCUAACGUGAUAAAUCGACCGCCUGGGGAGUACGGCCGCAAGGUUAAAACUCAAAUGAAUUGACGGGGGCCCGCACAAGCGGUGGAGCAUGUGGUUUAAUUCGAUGCAACGCGAAGAACCUUACCUACUCUUGACAUCCUAAGAAGAGCUCAGAGAUGAGCUUGUGCCUUCGGGAACUUAGAGACAGGUGCUGCAUGGCUGUCGUCAGCUCGUGUUGUGAAAUGUUGGGUUAAGUCCCGCAACGAGCGCAACCCUUAUCCUUUGUUGCCAGCGAUUCGGUCGGGAACUCAAAGGAGACUGCCAGUGACAA